UAUCAAAUAGUGUUUGUAACUCUAUUUGUUAUCUGAUCUAAUAUUGAAACCUUUCAUUACACCUUUAAGACCAAAUGUCGGUCAUGCUGUUAAUAACUCGUUCCUGUCAAGGCAAGUGCCUCUUGGUCCAACCUGUUAAACCUGAAGACACGUGUGAAGGAGUGUGUUCACUACCCUCCUCUGGAAAUAUAAGUCUACUCUAAAAAGGUAAAGAUUCAAGUCGACAGAAAGGCGACUCUGAAAGCAAAGGUCCGGAUAAAUCCAUCUGAAAGCAAUUACAGUCCACCGGCCAAUUGUCAAAAAAACCCAAAGAGGCAUCGAUCAUCAUGGGGAAAGGGGAGAGCGACGACUGGGAUGAGAAGCACGGGGACACGAGGCAGACUCAGCCUCGCAAACAGGAGGAGACUGAGGGUUCAAGCUCAGUUUGGAUAAAUCCAUCCGAACGCAAUUACAGACUACCGGCCAAUUUUCAAAAAGAAGUCAAUGAAGCGUCGGUCAUCAUGGAAAGAUGGGAGAGUGACCAGGGGCCCCCGAUACAGACUCAGCCUCGCGAACACAAGGAGAAGCCAAGACAAUGUUGCAUGUGCUGCUUGAAGUGUCUGUCCACCGAGGAGGUUGUGGAAUCCUGCUGCUCGGGCUUAUGUGAAUGUUUAAUCAGUCUUUGUUCCGAAGAGUGAAUCUCUUUUUAACCUGACCUUGAACAUCUGGACCAGAUUUCCCAGGCUGCGUUGAAUCUCAGCGUCCGCCAGCGGCUUUAGUGUGAUUUAUGCCAUUUGGAGAUGAAAAAAUUACCUUUCAGUCACUUUGAUGAGCUAAUAAACUUUAUACCUCAA